AGUGACGUGUUGGCCGUCAAUAUCAUCAGGUACAGCACAGCUUUUUUAUUUGGGAAGAAUGUCUGGACCGUCAUGGAAAAAGCAAAUGCAUAUUUCUUCUACAAAUAGUAGCAUUUAGCAUCUUACUUGACCACAUUUGCAAAAAAGAGGGAAUAGAGACUUCUAUAAUUAAAGGGAAAAGGAAAAUGAAAGGAGCUGAAAAUACUGAACUGUGUAGUCUGGGUGGCUUAAGUUUGAAAACACAUGAAAUUAUCAGGACUGCCAAACAGCAUUUCUGAGAAACCGUAUCACAGAUUGUGAAGAAAAUCAAUGCUGAAACAGUUAGGAGGAGGCAUCAUACUCCUACUCCUUUCAAGAAUCCCAAAAAUAGUUGCUGAGUUGUUGGGUUGUUUUUUUUUUUUCUUCUUCUUCUUCUUCUUUCCUGCUGAGGAAAGCGAAAUGCUACAUUGAAAAUAAAAUCAUCAACUAUAUCUUAAGCACUAGUCUGUAUGUCUAUAAAAUUUUGAAUUGUGUCUUUAGAUUUCAGGGAAGAAAUUCAUUCACAUUAAUAAACACCAAAUAACAGAUACCAUAGGACUUGGGUAAUAGCUGUAUUUAAGUUGUAUUGUUAAUUACUUCAGAGUGUAUGCAUUGUAUUUUUUAAAAACAAUUGUACCAACAGGCUCGUUUUUAAUUAUGAAAAUUGGCAGUUGCUGCCGUAGUGCAACAAAGAUUAACCGAUUUUUCAUUGGAGAACAAAUUAUUUGGGCUCAGGUCAGCAACAACUUGCAGUUCCUGUGACUUCUAUAUUGGUAAGGCAGGUGUUUUUUGUUUUUUUUUAAACCUGUUAUCUAAAUAAAAGUCAUUUUCCUGAAGUCAUAUUUGGGAAAGCUGUGAACAUAGAACCCCACAAAUCAUUCUAAUCAUCCCAGUAGAGAACAAAGAUUUUAAUCCUAAAUUAUCUUGGAAAAUUGACAUGUUGUUCAUAAUAUAUAAAUUCCCAACAUAUAAAGGGUAAUAUAACUUCCCUGAAUUGUCACAAGUCCUUCCUAAAAAUUAAGACUGUAUUUAUCUGCAAAGUUAUGGAGGUCCUUGGAAAAGCUGAACUAAAACAUAUUCAAAAUUAAGAUGAACUAUCUGGAUAGCUUAACCAAUUUAAUUACUAGUAGAAGAGGAUCCAUUGUGAAGUUUUAAGAAAGUAUCCUCAAAUUUCCCAAAGCUACCACAGUGGAAAUAGUCCUUACCCCUGGCUGAUAAGAGCUUAAUUUAGCUCCCUUGAAAGCCUAUCCUUUUCAAGAGUUGCUUUCAUUGGCUCCAGAAUCACCAGAGGCACACUCUCUCCCUCUAGUGGCUAAGCAUUCAGGCUCUUUACAUUUGGUGGCCCUGUCUCCCCAAGAAUGGGGGAUUUGGGCAGGGAGCAAUAGCUCCCAAAUUUUAGAAUGGCAAAGAUCUUAUAGCCACUUAGACCGUUUGGGGGAAAUUUUUACCUGUUUUUAACAUGUUUCUUUCUUGUUUGCAGAUUAUGGUGUGUCCAACUCACCCCCAAAAAAGAUUAAGUGAGUUGAUGUUUGUAACUGAUCGAAUCAAGGCAGAGAACAGCCCUACACUCUGUGUUUAUAAAAAGCCUGUCUCGGGGCGCCUGGG